UACGUAGGGGGCGAGCGUUGUCCGGAAUUAUUGGGCGUAAAGAGCGUGUAGGCGGUUCGGUAAGUCUGCCGUGAAAACCCAGGGCUCAACCCUGGGCGUGCGAUGGAUACUGCCGGGCUAGAGGGUGGUAGAGGCGAGUGGAAUUCCCGGUGUAGCGGUGAAAUGCGCAGAUAUCGGGAGGAACACCAGUAGCGAAGGCGGCUCGCUGGGCCAUACCUGACGCUGAGACGCGAAAGCGUGGGGAGCAAACAGG
rnacentral:rRNA from 1 species